ACGGACCUUUCGGGGUUAGUGGCGGACGGGUGAGUAACGCGUAGGGAUCUAUCCACGGGUGGGGGACAACUCUGGGAAACUGGAGCUAAUACCGCAUGAUACCUGAGGGUCAAAGGCGCAAGUCGCCUGUGGAGGAGCCUGCGUUCGAUUAGUUUGUUGGUGGGGUAACGGCCUACCAAGGCGACGAUCGAUAGCUGGUCUGAGAGGAUGAUCAGCCACACUGGGACUGAGACACGGCCCAG
rnacentral:rRNA from 1 species